rnacentral:lncRNA from 1 species
AGUCUGAUGAAGAUUGGCAUCAGGUUGAAGUUUGGAGCAGGACUCUGAGGCUCGCUGUCCUCCAUGCCGCUCACCAGAAAAGGGACUGUGAACUGUGAGUAACUUUGAUUGGCAUUUUCCAUGCUGACUCAAUAAGAUGAGGUCUGAAUGUGACAUGACACCCUAUUGAGUUAGACAGUAUUGUUUGUGCGUUAAGGUGGCCCUGACGUGUUCCGUGUGCCAUGGUGCUGAAGAGUUCUUGAAUUUGCAAGGCCAGUCCAGACCGCUGUUGCCAUGGUCUAGGGGAUAAGCUCAGGAGGCUGUGAGAGGAAGAUCUGGGCCACGUUCAAAGCUCCCACCUGCUAAGAAGUGGUUCCUCCCAGUGGGUCACCCCACUAAACAAUGUUUGCUCGUUUUUAGAGAUGUGAAGGAGGAGAAAGGAAAUGCUGCUGGUUGUGUCCCUUCCAUCAACACAGUUGCCACUCCACCUUACACAUCCAUGUGUUUGCUCAUGUUGGUUCUCCCACUUGGCAGAAGUCUUCCCACCUGUUGGACCUGGCCUCAAUCCAGUCUGCUUGUUUGGUGGAGCCUUUUUGGUAACUCCAGCUAGAAGUGAUUUUUCCCUCUUCUGAGAUUCUCUGCCUCCUAUGCCAGGCAUCCCGCUGGCCCGCACUUGACCGUGUGCCCUCAGCGAGGCGAGCCUGGGCUUCCCCGGGCUGGGUUUCCCUGCUGCAACCCCCACCCGGUAGCCGCUCAGGCCAUGUCAGCUAGAAGAGCUUGCCUGGGGCCCCGCGGCUUCCCCACCCUGCUUUGGCGCUCCUGGGGGCUGAGUGGCUGCGACUUUGAUAGUACAUUGGCUCCCAACCAGUCCAUGGAAUUAUAAAUGAUUAACCGUUAUCAGCACACAUCUUCACCUCUGUGUAAAAAUAGAUUGACUGUAAUGAGUAUUUGAAUAAAUCAUAAGAAUGGCCGCCCUGCGAUCGUCUAACAUCCUGCCGAUGGCUGCCCGGUGAGCGAGCAGGGCGCCGGCGCUCCGCCUAAUGGCCUGCGAGUCAGCGCUGGUGCCUCUGUGAUUGACGGCGCGGCUUGGCUCCCAGGCUCCCCCUCUCCAGGCUCAGGAGUGGAGAAGGGUGCCUCCCUCCAUCCUGUUCCAGGAAAGCCUACCUAGGAGAUGGGGCGGGGAGGAUGGGGGAGCCAGAGGAGGAAGAUAAUGACCUUUGUGAGAAUCGAUGUCUCCUCGUAGUGGAGGUUAGAGGGACCUCAUAAGUCAAGUCAAGUAUGAGAGGAACAAGCUGAGCGUGAACCUUAAUGAGAGCAGUGAGUAUAGAGGAAGUAGUUCUGAACAUUCCCUCCCUGUCCCUCAGGGCAGCAGGGCGCCUGGCCCGGGGCCACCCACACUCGGGGAGCUCCCUCUUGGGGUCACUCUGGGACAUGCACAGAGGAACGUGCAAGAGCGGGAAUCUCCGGGUCCCAGGACUCAGAAAUGGAAAGAUUCAAAAGAUCUUUCAGGGAGUGUUUUGCUAAGGCUGCCUCAAGCAGGUGGAGCCUGCUUUUUGGAGGGGGAUGAAGAGGGGGGCUCAGAGGGACCAGACUGCCAGGAGGGAAGGGUCUGAAAGUCUGAAGGAAGGGCUGGAUUUGAGAGAAACAGCAAAUAUUCUGAUUUAGUUCAAGUGGUGUUCCAGUUAUUAUGCUGUGUAACAAACCACCCCAAGACUUAGUGACUUAAUGUUUGUCUUGCUCAUCUAUUCCGUGAGUCGGGAGUUCAAACAGGGCACAGCAGGGAAAUGAUCUCCGACCCACAGGCCUGGGGUCUCCUCCAGGCAGAAAACUAGGUGCCAACAUCAUCUGAAGGCUCGCUGGCUCAUAACUCUGGGGGUGGAUACCAGCUGUUGGCAGAGAUAUUAGCUGGGGCUGUCCACCAAACCUGCGUGACCUCACCUUGUGGCCUGGACAUCCUCAUGACAUGGUGGCUGCAGGCCCAGAGGGAGUGUCUUGAGGUUAGCAGGAGCCAGGCAGGGCUGUUCUGCCCGAGUCCAGCAGCACCCCUUCCACACAUGGUCGGGGCAGGUUCAGAGGCCCACCUGGGUGUAAAGAAGGGAACACAGACACCCCCCAGCCAUGUUGCAAAGGAGGAGUGCCCACAGCACAUUCAGUGAAGGGUGGGGUAUGUGUCUUUGCAACCAGCUUUGAAAGGACAGUCUCUCACAACUAGUAUUCAUCAUGUGGGACAGCAUAGCCUCAUUUAUUCCCAAGGUAGGCUAAAGAAACCCCUGGCAUCAGCCUGUCCCUUAACUCACACAAUGUCUGGGUUUGAGGGGACCCCCGGAGGCCAGGCUAGGCUUCUUCCCCAGAGUGGGAUUCCCUGAGGAUGUGCUGGUGGUAAGAGGUUUCUUAUAGUUCAUCUGGGCAAGAGUGGGUCCAGUUUGCAACCCACAGCUUGAAGUGCCAGGUCUGGGGAAGAACUUAGACCUGUGACAGGGGCUGUACAGGUUGAGCCCUUCAUUCUGGUGCAUAGCUCCCACUCCCAUGGCCUUCCAAACUGGGGGAGGCUUCAGCCAAAGAUCAGACCGAAGGGGCUUAGGGGCCAUGGGGGGCCUGGGCAAGUCAGGCAGCCCUUCCUCCCUGAUCGUGUCCUUUCCUCUCCCUCCUCCUUCUCUGCCACACAAUGUAAUCUGUGGAAGGUGGGGCCCUUGAGGACCAAGCUCCCUUUCCUUUGCCAUUUUCCUGACCCAGAUGGAGCUAAAUUCUGGAAAAGCAUCUGAGUACCCUGUCUGCCUUGUGACUUAAGGGGAUAGAAACAAAACUCAAGCAACCUAAGAGUGGGUGCAGAACCAGUUCAUUUUUCCCAAGGGCCAAGAUAUGAGAAUGGCUAAUGGUGAAAUAGAGGGGGCAGGGGAGAGAGGGGUAAGGGGCUUGGUUUUAAUGAAAAGGUGCUGAGGUUUGGAGUGAGGGUCUUAGAGUUUUCCACAAGUCAGCUGAAAAGUAAUAAUCACUGUUUGUUGAACACUUACUACAUGCUAGAAACUCUGCUAAGCAGGUGAUGGCAUUUUCCCAUAGAAACCACUACACUACUUUAUGGGACACUGUUAUUAUCUCUGUAUCACAUGCAAAAGGGGAGCAGAGACAAGAGAGGUACCUGGCCAGUGACAGAGUAAGUUAGUCAUAGAGUUGAACUCCAACUUAAGACUCUAUUUUAGAGAUCCAAUCACUUCAUUGUGUGGCUCAGGAAACUCAGUUUACUCUCUGGUAAAGGGGGAAAUUCUGAUGAUAUCAUCUCCAAUGUCACCCUCAGUUCUAAGAUUCUAAAUGUGCAGAGACGAUUCUGGGAGCUAGCCUAGACAUAUCUGAAGUGGAGGCCGAUGUUAUGGAAAUGGGUCUGUGUGAAAGCACGAAUGAUUUCCUGUUCUCUCCUUUCCCCUUUCGUGAAACAUAGGUCAGGAAACCAAUGUUUAAUUUGGGCAGGUGAAGGAAACAGAUAAAAACAUAAAAGAUCAUUUGUAUUUUCAAGGCUCCAACUUGGGGGCAGGGGCGAACAUUGGGUUUGGAGUCCAAAGCUGGAGUUCCUUAGCCCGUGACUUAGAAGCUCUGUGAUUCUGGACACAUCUCUUUGGUCUUCGGAUCCGGCAUCUCUAGAAUGGAAAUAGGAUUGUGUACCCCUCCCAGGAUGGCUGUGGGGACUAAAUGAAAUCCAGCAAGUGCAAGCUUGAGUGCCAUUCCUGGCACACAAGAGCGACUUGAUAAUGAUUUGGCCAUGCUCUCACCCAAGACACAAAUAAAAGCUGGAGUUGGAAAGACUGGUCCUCUCCCUCUCCUUUGCUCCUUGUGGAGAUGGUCAAGCAUCUUUCCUUUAACUGUACUCUCCAUAAAAGUUCACUCAUAAACUAUUGAUAUUUUAAUAAUACACAUUAGCAUCUUGCCCUUUGACAGAUGAAUAUUGAAUGAGCAAUAAAGAGGCAAAAGAGUAACCAGGUACGUGGCUGCGGGGAAGCUGGAGUCAUGAGUGGUUGUCAGAGGGACCGCUCCUUUCCAGGGAACUUGUGACUCACCUCUCUCUCCUGUGACCCCUGGGAAACAGCUCUUAAAAAGAGCUCAUAUUCUCGCCCAGCCCAGUCUGAGCAGGAUUUGGCCUUGGUUUUCUUUCACUCGGUCUGGAGGACACUUGGGAGAAGACAGAAGAAGGUCAUUAAGGAGCUGCCAAAGGCCCUGGACUUUUCACCCACUUGUGAAAUGGCUGCCCUCUCCCCACUACCUUUGCCAAAGGUGCAGACUUCUUCCCCACAUACUCUCUCCUGUUCCAUAAAUUUAAAGUCUGCAGACAGACAUGCCCAUAAGAAAUCUGGCAGCCAACUUAGAAAUAACUCAGAAUGCUUCUGCUCCUCUCUGUCCUCUCUCCACAGGGUCUUGAUAGGCACCUAGGCUUGGGGUGUAUGUUAAGUUUUAUAAGACAGAAUGUCCUGCCUCUUGCAGCACGUGAUAUAGCCUCACUGUCACAGCCUCCAGUUUUUCGUGGCCUCCAUCUGGGCUGGGAGUCCUUGCGUGUGCAGAGAACAGUGACAAGGGUUCUUCCUUGGUCCAGCUUAAUUGGUGUGAUUUAAUGGUGUUUCUGGCCGAUUCAGAUUUAUACGGCUUUCUGAGCUGCAAAUCUGCUUUCUAAAUGUAGAAUUUUUGUGGAGUGGUAAAAAAUAAUGGCUGUUCUGUGAUUCCUGCCUCCCGAGCUAGGAGAUUGCAAUUUACAUUAUGCAAAUAGACAUUAUGCAAUCAAGGCACUUUAGCAGGAAUCUGGCGGCAGAGAGGCCGCUGAUGAGAUACGAGGUCUGCAGCCCCAACUGGAGGGGCCCAGGAAGCGCGGAGAUGGAGCGGGGAGGGGGCGGGGCCAGCGGGGCGGGGGCAGAGUCUGUUCCGCCGGCACCGGGAGGCACAGUGGAGCCUGCCCAGAGAUGAACGCAUCCGGGGGCUGCCAAAGCGACUCUCUCAAUUAAUGGCUUUGUUUAAUCAUACCCCCUGUCCAGAGGAGUAUUGUCUUACGGAUAAUUUCGUUUGCCUAACGAGAUUUUGCUAAUUAAAUCUCCUUUCAGUUGGUGUGACUGUGCCUGCAGGAGAGGGGGCUAUUUGGAGUCUUCUCCAUAAACCUUUCUGGAGAGGAGCUGGGAAGGAGGGACUAGAAGGAGGGGAGAAAAAAGGGUGGGGGGGAGAAACUUCCUUGCUGUGAGCAGGACUGGAGAAGCUUGUGCAGGAUUUGGAACUACAAGGUGGCCGCUACUGCCCACCUUGCCUUUUUCUCUCCUGUUCCCUGUGAAGGCAAGUAGUCAGAAACCUUUGUCCAGCCUGAGGGAUUUCCCUUAUUUUUGCCUCCUCUGUGGCUCCUGUUACCUCCACCAUUAUCUCUUCUCCUCAAGUCCUUCCCGAAUCCCCAGGAGGUUCUGCAGGAUUUCCACACACUCCUUCCAGCAGCUCUGGCUGUGGGUGCUGGUGGUGAUGUGAGAACCCUUCCCUGGCCUUCGCUGUUAGCCAGUGAGCCUGCCUCUUCAGAGAGGAAAAAUUGCUUCCCAUUUUGGCCAUUUCUCCAGGGGUAGUUGCAUGCAUCAAAGAGGAGAAGACCUCAGUCAAAUUCAUGUAUCAUCAGAGUCAGUGGCAGUAGCUCCCUGUAUGUGGAGAAGCCUGGUGCUGAGCCUGCAAUGACUGGGGCCAAAUCGAUCCUGUUGUGAUAUGUGCCCAUGUCUAGCCUGUGUUCCACUUUCUCCAGUGGUUCUGUACUACCUGAGCGUCCUUGGCCUGGUUAACCAUGGGCCUCCCAGCUCAGUUCUACUUCUCUAGCCCCCCUUGCAUCUCCCUCCUCCCUGUUACUUACAGACGCUCAGACAUGUGGUCACAUUUCCACUCCUGGUACCUAAAUAUGCUCAGUUCCCCCCCAAAUACUCUGUAUAACUUCACACCUCAGUGCCUUUGCACAUGCUGUUCCCUCUGUCUGGAAUCUUAUCAGUCUGGAUAACCUCUGCUCUGCCUGCAAUACUCAGUUCACAUUAUCUCCUUUGCGAUGACCACUUACAGGACUUCCUGCCUUUCCUGAAAUACUGCUGAACUCCUUCAACCUGUGAGUUGUCACAAGACCUCAAACACGGGCAUCAGUCUAACCAAGUUAAGAACUGAAUCUUGGGUUUCCUGCUGUGGUGCAACGGGAUCUGUGGUGUCUUGGAAGCUCAGGGAUGCAGGUUCCAAUUCCUGACCCAGCACAGCGGGUUAAGGAUCCACCAUUGCUGCAGCUGCAGCUUAGGUCACAACUACAGCUCAGAUCUGAUUCCUGGCCUGGGAACUCCAUAUGCUGUGGGGCAG